UACGGGGGGGGCAAGCGUUGUUCGGAAUUACUGGGCGUAAAGGGUGCGUAGGCGGCGUGGUAAGUCUGAUGUGAAAUCCCGGGGCUCAACCUCGGAACUGCAUUGGAUACUGCCAUGCUUGAGUACUGGAGAGGAGACUGGAAUUUACGGUGUAGCAGUGAAAUGCGUAGAUAUCGUAAGGAAGACCAGUGGCGAAGGCGAGUCUCUGGACAGUUACUGACGCUGAGGCACGAAGGCCAGGGGAGCAAACGGG
rnacentral:rRNA from 1 species